GAAUCCCCGUUUGGGGUUCGGGGACUGAUAUUGAAUUCGGGGAUUGGGGGUUGGGGAUAGCACUCCCCGACCCCGAAGUGCCCCCGCGCCCAUCCCUAGUUGAUCUACUACAAAUAGAAUUUUUUUUUAUUAAAAUCAAUAAUAUUAAUAAAUAGAUAUAGAGAGGUGGGAAGAGAGAAUUGAUGGUAAAGGUGACCAGAGAAGGACAAAGAUGUCGGAGAUAUGUCCUUGAAGAAAUUUGUUGGAUAAGUUUAUAGGAAGGGAAGAGGAUAGGAAGGAAGAAAGAAUUAGCUAGAGCUGGGGCGAGCCGCGUGGUGGCAGCAGUAGUGGUUGCAACAUGGUAGCGAUGGGAGAUAGUGGUUAUGACAAUGCAGUAUGGGCGGGUGACUCAUUGCAGCAAGGGGUGAGGGCAUGGGUGGUGUUGAUUGUGUGGGGGUGUAAAAAGGGGAUAAAAUAGUUUUAAUUAUUAAGUGGUUAUAUUUAAAAUAUUAGUGAUUUUUUUAAUUUUAGGCUUAUAUUGUUUGUAUUUGAUCUUCAUAUAUAUAUAUGUACGGUAGCACUCCAUAGCAUACCCUCUUAUAUGGAGUUAGGUAGCA
rnacentral:lncRNA from 1 species